CCUACGGGAGGCUGCAGUGAGGAAUAUUGGUCAAUGGGCGAGAGCCUGAACCAGCCAAGUCGCGUGAGGGAGUACUGCCCUAUGGGUUGUAAACCUCUUUUGUCGGGGAGCAAAAGCCGGACGUGUCCGGCUGUGAGAGUACCCGAAGAAAAAGCAUCGGCAAACUCCGUGCCAGCAGCCGCGGUAAUACGGAGGAUGCGAGCGUUAUCCGGAUUUAUUGGGUUUAAAGGGUGCGCAGGCGGAGUUUUAAGUCAGCGGUAAAAUCGUGGGGCUCAACCCCAUCCAGCCGUUGAAACUGGGGAUCUAGAGUGUGCGAGAGGUAUGCGGAAUGCGUGGUGUAGCGGUGAAAUGCAUAGAUAUCACGCAGAACCCCGAUUGCGAAGGCAGCAUACCGGUGCACAACUGACGCUCAGGCACGAAAGCGUGGGUAUCGAACAGGAUUAGAUACCCGAGUAGUC
rnacentral:rRNA from 1 species